UACGGGGGGUGCAAGCGUUAAUCGGAAUCACUGGGCGUAAAGGGUGCGUAGGCGGUGCAUUAGGUCUGUCGUGAAAUCCCCGGGCUCAACCUGGGAAUGGCGGUGGAAACCGGUGUACUAGAGUAUGGGAGAGGGUGGUGGAAUUCCAGGUGUAGCGGUGAAAUGCGUAGAGAUCUGGAGGAACAUCAGUGGCGAAGGAGGCCUCCUGGCCCAACAAUGACGCUGAGGCACGAAAGCGUGGGGAGCAAACAGG
rnacentral:rRNA from 1 species